rnacentral:sRNA from 1 species
AAAAGAGCAACAAACA